rnacentral:rRNA from 1 species
GACGAACGCUGGCGGCGUGCUUAACACAUGCAAGUCGAACGGAAAGGCCCUUUUCUUGUUGGUUGCUCGAGUGGCGAACGGGUGAGUAACACGUGAGUAACCUGCCCUUGACUUUGGUAUAACUUCAGGAAAUUGGGGCUUAUACCGUAUAGGAGCUCCUGCUUCUUGGUGGGGGUUGGAAUGUUUCGGCGGUUGGGGCUGGUCUCGCGGCUUAUCAGCUUGUUGGUGGGGUAGUGGCUUACCAAGGCUUUGACGGGUAGCCGGCCUGAGAGGGUGAGCGGCAACAUUGAGACUGAGAUACGACCCAGAAUCCUACGGGAGGCAGCAGUGGGGGAUAGUGCAAAGUGGGCGGAAGCCUGAUGCAGCAACGCCGCGUGCGUGAUGACGGCCUUCGGGUUGUAAACCGCUUUCGCCUAUGACGAAGGGUGAGUGACGGUAAUGGGUAAAGAAGCACCGGCUAACUACGUG